GCGCCUGUGGCCCAAUGGAUAGGGCACCAGCCUCCGGAGCUGGGUGUACAGGUUCGACUCCUGUCAGGCGCA
rnacentral:tRNA from 1 species